CGCACCCUGCUUUGUGCGUAGUCCACCGGGAAGUUCGUAUCCAACACUCAUACAAAGGGAGUCCGGACUCUGAUUGUGGCGUGCACGCCCCGCUUAGGGGAAGCCCAAAGCAAUCAGGAGGACACCCACCUGGUAGAGAAGGGGUUCGGAACUUCGUGGAUUACGGCAAAGCGGGGUUUUC
rfam:Carboxydothermus hydrogenoformans Z-2901, complete genome.